rnacentral:rRNA from 1 species
AUUGAACGCUGGCGGCAGGCCUAACACAUGCAAGUCGAACGGUAACAGGAAACAGCUUGCUGUUUCGCUGACGAGUGGCGGACGGGUGAGUAAUGUCUGGGAAACUGCCUGAUGGAGGGGGAUAACUACUGGAAACGGUAGCUAAUACCGCAUAACGUCGCAAGACCAAAGAGGGGGACCUUCGGGCCUCUUGCCAUCGGAUGUGCCCAGAUGGGAUUAGCUAGUAGGUGGGGUAACGGCUCACCUAGGCGACGAUCCCUAGCUGGUCUGAGAGGAUGACCAGCCACACUGGAACUGAGACACGGUCCAGACUCCUACGGGAGGCAGCAGUGGGGAAUAUUGCACAAUGAGCGCAAGCCUGAUGCAGCCAUGCCGCGUGUAUGAAGAAGGCCUUCGGGUUGUAAAGUACUUUCAGCGGGGAGGAAGGGAGUAAAGUUAAUACCUUUACUCAUUGACGUUACCCGCAGAAGAAGCACCGGCUAACUCCGUG